GGCGGCGUAGCUCAGCUGGUUAGAGCAGCGGAAUCAUAAUCCGAAGGUCGAAGGUUCGAGUCCUUCCGCCGCUA
rfam:Actinobacteria bacterium 13_1_20CM_3_68_10 13_1_20cm_3_scaffold_37417, whole genome shotgun sequence.